AUCCUUUAACCCACUGUGCCUGGCUGGGAAUCGAACCUGUGUGUCUGCAGUGACCCAAGCCCCUGCAGUCAGAUUUUUAACCCACUACGCCACAGCAUGAACUCUGUUCAUGAUGUUUUUGCUUGCUUAAUUUGUCAGAUCAUCCAUCCAUUCUCAGUUAUUCAAGGUCAUUGAAAGGAGUUCUUGGACAAUUUUAAGAAAGAAGAGCUUGCAUUCUUUCAACCAACCAACUAACCAACCACACAUGAAAAGCAGAAGGAUAUGUGGGGCAAGGCUGUGGCCCCGAAAACACUAUAUAACAAGGGACAAGCCACAGACUCCGUGGAUGCACUUGCCAGUAAAGACUACUGUACGAGCUGCAGCUGGCUGAAUGUGCAAAAGCAGAAUGUCAGAUACAGAGGAACCUUGGAUAUGAGGACCAAUUAUAAGCAUGCCCUGGCGUGAAGCAGGAUCUCAGUUCCCAGGCUGGGGAUUGAACCUGGUAAAAGUGCCAAAUCCUAACCACUAGACUACCAAGGAACUCCCAUUAUCUCUAAUGCUUUUGUUCUUUAACCUUUUGUUCUUUAACCUUUAUACUAGAAUUAAAUGAUUAUGCUAUGCUACUGUAUUAAAGUAUUCUGAAUUC